UGGUGGAGUGAUUUGUCUGGUUAAUUCCGUUAACGAGCGAGACCUUAACCUGCUAAAUAGGAUAAUAGGUCAAGACCUACUAUUCCUUCUUAGAGGGACUCUGUGUGCAAGCACAGGGAAGUUUGAGGCAAUAACA
rnacentral:rRNA from 1 species